GGUUGGUCUGAGUGCAGUGGUGUUUACAACUAACUCAUCACAACCAGUUACAGAUUCCUUUGUCCCUUCUCCACUCCCACUGCUUCACUUGACCAGCCUUAA
rnacentral:Y_RNA from 1 species